CCACUCCACAGGGUCCGUGCGAGCUCGGGGUGGACCUCGGGGCGGCCCGGACACGCCCCUUCCCGCUUCGAGCCAGUCGCCUUGCAGACACGUCCCUACCGCACAGCCUCGCAGCUCCCCAAAUCUCCAGACUGGUGCCAGCGGGCGGGCGCUGGCUUGGAGCCCACUCGACCUAGCCCCGAUGGGGUCGGCCGCCACCUCCCACUGACAGCCCCGUCAAUCAGACGUUCCAGAGGCGUUGAGAGGCCAAGGUAGAAGAAAUACGGACUUUAAUGAAGGCUAUUUCCCUUUGGUAUAAGACAUCCAAACCAAAAUUAGGCGACAGCCAAGACUGAAAACCAGUCGACCACUCCUUGUCAGAAAGCCUACAGAACGAGCUUGCAAGGUUCCUGUGCUGGCUGAAUCUGCCUGCAAGCAGAAGCUAUGCUACCUCCUCAGAGGGAUGGAACACUAUCAAACAAAGAGGAUAUCCAGAAUGAUUCCACAUACAAAGUCCCUGGUGGCCACACUGUUUAUCUCUUGAGACCUGAAGAAAGAAGCCUGGGGAUCUCAGCAGGUAUGGCCCUCCAGACUUUCUCACUGAGCCACUGAAGAGAUAACAUGGCAGAAGAGGGAAGCAGGGUCAAGCAUGAGAAGAAACCUACUUCCCAACCCCAGUCUGAGGCUCAAGAGUUGCCUCACUGUCUUCCCACCAGCUCACCUGUCAUGGGGGGUGACCAGCUUGGGUGGAUUCCUGAGAUACUGUUUGAAGCGUAACUCAAAGGCCUGCCCGAUGGUGCUGAUGACAUCCUGAGCAAGCCCUUCAGGACACUCCAGGAUAUGGCAGGCUGGACACAGUGGAGAUCACCAAUGAGCUCUGAGGAAGGGUGCUGGGAGGACAUGUGGGUGGGAGCCCCCGCCCCCAGUCCUUUCCAGCAGGAUAGCCCUGAGUGUAAGUGAUCAUGCUUGCUUCUCAGAUAAUUGGCCUCACCCAGUGCUGCCCACAAGCCUCACCUCUCUGAUUCACAGGGUCUUUGGCAACAUAGGCAACAUACUCAGCUGUGUCCUGGAGAGAGUAGAUUCAGGAGACCAGUUAGCUAGAGCUUACAACUCCUGACCCACUAAGACCAUCCUUUCAGAUAGUUCAUAGUCCUUGCGCCCCACUACUUUAGCCAGUAUCUUUUCUCUCCCUCCCUCUUUUGUUUUUUUCAAGAAGAAUUUCUCUAUAUGGCCAUGGCUGUCCUGGUACUCAAGAGAGUCAUCUGCCCCUUGAGUGCUGAGACUAGUGAGACUAGUGUGUGUCACCACACCCAGCCCCUAGCCAGCAUCUUUUUAGUCCCUAGUCUCUUCUUCCCCACCCGUCUUUCCUCUGUUCCCCAACUCACCGGAUCCCCACCAGACGCGAAUGAGAUAGAUUGCAUGUGAUGGUUGGCAAUGAUCUGAUGAGGGUGGGGGAUGGAGAAGGAAGGGAAUGGUAAAUGUCAGGCAGCCUCAGGACUCCGCAUGUACCCCAACCCCGCAUUGAACCUUGGAGCCCCAGGCUCAUUCUCUUGGUCUUUCUUCUUUUGGUGGGGGGAGGUACAAGGUCUCACUAUGUAGCCCUGACUGGAACUCAAAGGCAUUCACCUGCCUGGGCCUCCUGAGUGCUGGAAUAAAAGGUAUCACUGUUCUCAA